AUGGGAUGGAGCUGGAUCAUCCUCUUCCUGGUGACAGCAGCUAUAAGUGUCCACUCCCAGCUCCAGCUGCAGCAGUCUGGGGCUGAGCUGGUGAAGCCUCGAGCCUCAGUGAAGCUGUCCUGCAAGGCUUCAGGCUACACCUUCACGGACUAUGCUAUGCACUGGGUGAAACAGAAGCCUGGACAGGGUCUGGAGUGGAUUGGAUGGAUUUCUCCUGGAAGUGGUAAUACAAAGUACAACCAGAAGUUCCAGGGCAAGGCCACACUGACUGCAGACACAUCCUCCAGCACAGCCUACAUGGAGCUCAGGACUCUGACAUCUGAGGACUGUGGGGUCUUUUACUGUGCAUGA